UGGGGAAUCUUUGGACAAUGGGGGCGAACCCUGAUCCAGCCAUGCCGCGUGAGUGAUGAAGGCCUUAGGGUCGUAAAGCUCUUUCGCCUGUGAAGAUAAUGACGGUAGCAGGUAAAGAAACCCCGGCUAACUCCGUGCCAGCAGCCGCGGUAAUACGGAGGGGGUUAGCGUUGUUCGGAAUUACUGGGCGUAAAGCGCACGUAGGCGGACCAGAAAGUUGGGGGUGAAAUCCCGGGGGCUCAACCCCGGAACUGCCUCCAAAACUAUUGGUCUAGAGUUCGAGAGAGGUGAGUGGAAUUCCAAGUGUAGAGGUGAAAUUCGUAGAUAUUUGGAGGAACACCAGUGGCGAAGGCGGCUCACUGGCUCGAUACUGACGCUGAGGUGCGAAAGUGUGGGGAGCAAACAGGAUUAGAUACCCUGGUAGUCCACACCGUAAAACGAUGAAUGCCAGUCGUCGGGGUAGCAUGCUAUUCGGUGACACACCUAACGGAUUAAGCA
rnacentral:rRNA from 1 species